rnacentral:misc_RNA from 1 species
AUUUGGACAAGUUGGGCUAUCGUGUGACUACACUUCACGGAGGGAAAUCACAGGAACAGAGGGAGGUCAGUCUUGAUGGGUUCAGGAACAGGAGGUUUAAUGUACUUGUGGCAACAGAUGUUGCUGGACGAGGUAUUGAUAUUCCUGAUGUUGCUCAUGUCAUAAAUUAUGAGAUGCCGAACACUAUUGACAUGUAUACUCAUCGCAUUGGACGAAG